CUUAGAGGGACAAUCGGCUCAAGCCGCACGAAACAGAGCAAUAACAGGUCUGUGAUGCCUUUAGAUGCUCGGGGCCGCACGCGCGCUACACUGAAGGAAGCAGCGUGUUUUAUCCGUGUUUGUUAAGACAGUAAGCUUAGAAAAAAGUGGCUUGAGCAAAUAGAGAGGUCUAAUUGAAGUCCAUCGGAGUACCCCCGAGCAAGUGUUCGUCUGUUUGAAUAACAGGGCACAAAAAA
rfam:Ixodes scapularis strain Wikel colony gcontig_1108378317484, whole genome shotgun sequence.